rnacentral:rRNA from 1 species
UACGAAGGGGGCUAGCGUUGCUCGGAAUCACUGGGCGUAAAGCGCACGUAGGCGGCUUGUUCAGUCAGGGGUGAAAUCCUGGAGCUCAACUCCAGAACUGCCUUUGAUACUGGCGAUCUUGAGUCCGGGAGAGGUGAGUGGAACUGCGAGUGUAGAGGUGAAAUUCGUAGAUAUUCGCAAGAACACCAGUGGCGAAGGCGGCUCACUGGCCCGGUACUGACGCUGAGGUGCGAAAGCGUGGGGAGCAAACAGG